rnacentral:rRNA from 1 species
AUUGAACGCUGGCGGCAUGCCUUACACAUGCAAGUCGAACGGUAACGCGGGGCAACCUGGCGACGAGUGGCGAACGGGUGAGUAAUGCAUCGGAACGUGCCCAGUAGUGGGGGAUAGCUCGACGAAAGUCGAAUUAAUACCGCAUACGACCUAAGGGUGAAAGGGGGGGAUCGCAAGACCUCUCGCUAUUGGAGCGGCCGAUGUCAGAUUAGGUAGUUGGUAGGGUAAAAGCCUACCAAGCCUAUGAUCUGUAGCUGGUCUGAGAGGACGACCAGCCACACUGGGACUGAGACACGGCCCAGACUCCUACGGGAGGCAGCAGUGGGGAAUUUUGGACAAUGGGCGCAAGCCUGAUCCAGCCAUGCCGCGUGCGGG